rnacentral:ncRNA from 1 species
GAAGGCAUUUAGAAGUGCUUAUCAUUUCAUAGUUUUCAGCAAUUUUCGUACACGGAUGUACGAAAAAGGUGAUAUUGAGCCUGGACGGCGAAUUAUCACCGGUUGCGUUCCCAUAUACUACCACAUAUCAUUGAAAUGAUUAGCACUUCUUGAUGCCAUA